rnacentral:lncRNA from 1 species
CGACCCGUUUUUUGGCCAUUUUUCCGCUGGGGGGUUUUGGCCCCACGACCUUCGGGCGCUUAUUUUCGGGCGCGGCUUAUUUUUGGCACCCCGAGGCCCCUCGCAAAGUCUCGCCCCAUUCCGAGUCCGGCGGACGAACUUCGCCCGCGCCCCCCACCAAGGCUAUAGCCCACGACCCGUUUUUUGGCCAUUUUUCCGAUGGGGGGUUUUGGCACCACGACCUUCGGGCGCUUAUUUUUGGGCGCGGCUUUGCCCGCGGCUUAUUUUUGGCACCCCGAGGCCCCUCGCAACGUCUCGCCCCAUUCCGAGUCCGGCGGACGAACUUCGCCCGCGCCCCCCACCAAGGCUAUAGCCCACGACCCGUUUUUUGGCCAUUUUUCCGCUGGGGGGUUUUGGCUCCACGACCUUCGGGCACUUAUUUUUGGGUGCGGCUUUGCCCGCGGCUUAUUAUUGGUACCCCGAGGCCCCUCUCAAAGUCUCGCCCCAUUCCGAGUCCGGCGGAAGAACUUCGCCUGCGCCCCCCACCAAGGCUAUAGCCCACGACCUGUUUUUUGGCCAUUUUUCCGCUAGGGGGUUUUGGCACCACGACCUUCGGGCGCUUAUUUUUGCGCGCGGCUAUGCCCGCGGCUUAUUUUUGGCACCCCGAGCCCCUCGUAAAGUCUCGCCCCAUUCCGAGUCCGGCGGACGAACUUCGCCCGCGCCCCCCACCAAGGCUAUAGCCCACCCGUUUUUUGGCCAUUUUUCCGCUGGGGGCUUUUGGCACCACGACCUUCGGGCCCCUAUUUUUGGGCGCGGCUUUGCCCGCGUCUUAUUUUUGGCACCCCGACGCCCCUCGCAACGUCUCGCCCCAUUCCGAGUCCGGUGGACCAACUUCGCCCGCGCCCCCCACCAAGGCUAUAGCCCACCCGUUUUUUGGCCAUUUUCCCGCUGGGGGGUUUUGGCACCACGACCUUCGGGCGCUUAUUUUUGGGCGCGGCUUUGCCCGCGGCUUAUUUUUGGCACCCCGAGGCCCCUCGCAAAGUCUUGCCCCAUUCCGAGUCCGGCGGAUGAACUUCGCCCGCGCCCCCUACCAAGGCUAUAGCCCACGACCCGUUUUUUGGCCAUUUUUCCGCUGGGGGGUUUUGGCACCACGACCUUCGGGCGCUUAUUUUUGGGCACGGCUUUCCCCGCGGCUUAUUUUUGGCACCCCGAGGCCCCUCGCAAAGUCUCGCCCCAUUCCGAGUCCGGCGGACGAACUUCGCCCGCGCCCCCCACCAAGGCUAUAGCCCACGACCCGUUUUUUGGCCAUUUUUCUGCUGGGGGGUUUUGUCACCACGACCUUCGGGCGCUUAUUUUUGGGCGCGGCUUUCCCCGCGGCUUAUUUUUAGCACCCCGAGGCCCCUCGCAAAGUCUCGCCCCAUUCCGAGUCCGGCGGAGGAACUUCGCCCGCGCCCUCCACCAAAGCUAUAGCCCACGACCCGUUUUUUGGCCAUUUUUCUGCUGGAGGGUUUUGGCACCACGACCUUCGGGCGCUUAUUUUUGGGCGCGGCUUAUUUUUGGCACCCCGAGGCCCCUCGCAAAGUCUUGCCCCAUUCCCAGUCCGGCGGACGAAAUUCGCCCGCGCCCCCCACCAAGGCUAUAGCCCACGACCCGUUUUUUGGCCAUUUUUAUGCUGGGGGGUUUUGUCACCACGACCUUCGGGCGCUUAUUUUUGGGCGCGGCUUUCCCCGCGGCUUAUUUUUGGCACCCCGAGGCCCCUCGCAAAGUCUCGCCCCAUUCCGAGUCCGGCGGAAGAACUUCGCCCGCGCCCUCCACCAAGGCUAUAGCCCACGACCCGUUUUUUGGCCAUUUUUCCGCUGGAGGGUUUUGGCACCACGACCUUCGGGCGCGGCUUAUUUUUGGCACCCCGAGGACCCUCGCAAAGUCUCGCUCCAUUCCGAGUCCGGCGGACGAACUUCGCCCGCGCCCCCCACCAAGGCUAUAGCCCACGACCCGUUUUUUGGCCAUUUUUCCGCUGGGGGGUUUUGGCACCACGACCUUCGGGCGCUUAUUUUUGGGCGCGGCUUUGCCCGCGGCUUAUUUUUGGCACCCCGAGGCCCCUCGCAACGUCUCGCCCCAUUCCGAGUCCGGCGGACGAAAUUCGCCCGCGCCCCCCACCAAGGCUAUAGCCCACGACCCGUUUUUUGGCCAUUUUUCCGCUGGGGGGUUUUGGCCCCACGACCUUCGGGCGCUUAUUUUCGGGCGCGGCUUAUUUUUGGCACCCCGAGGCCCCUCGCAAAGUCUCGCCCCAUUCCGAGUCCGGCGGACGAACUUCGCCCGCGCCCCCCACCAAGGCUAUAGCCCACGACCCGUUUUUUGGCCAUUUUUCCGAUGGGGGGUUUUGGCACCACGACCUUCGGGCGCUUAUUUUUGGGCGCGGCUUUGCCCGCGGCUUAUUUUUGGCACCCCGAGGCCCCUCGCAACGUCUCGCCCCAUUCCGAGUCCGGCGGACGAACUUCGCCCGCGCCCCCCACCAAGGCUAUAGCCCACGACCCGUUUUUUGGCCAUUUUUCCACUGGGGGGUUUUGGCACCGCGACCUUCAGGCGCUUAUUUUUGGGCGCGGCUUUGCCCGCGGCUUAUUUUUGGUACCCCGAGGCCCCUCGCAAAGUCUCGCCCCAUUCCGAGUCUGGCGGACGAACUUCGCCCGCGCCCCCCACCAAGGCAAUAGGUCACCCGUUUUUUGGCCAUUUUUCCGCUGGGGGCUUUUGGCACCACGACCUUCGGGCGCUUAUUUUUGGGCGCGGCUUUGCCCGCGGCUUAUUUUUGGCACCCCGAGGCCCCUCGCAAAGUCUCGCCCCAUUCCGAGUCCGGCGGACGAACUUCGCCCGCGCCCCCCACCAAGGCUAUAGGCCACGACCCGUUUUUUGGCCAUUUUUCCGCUGGAGGAUUUGGCACCACGACCUUCGGGCGCUUAUUUUUGGGCGCGGCUUUGCCCGCGGCUUAUUUUUGGCACCCCGAGGCCCCUCGGAAAGUCUCGCCCCAUUCCGAGUCCGGCGGACGAAAUUCGCCCGCGCCCCCCACCAAGCCUAUAGCCCACGACCCGUUUUUUGGCCAUUUUUCCGCUGGGGGGUUUUGGCCCCACGACCUUCGGGCGCUUAUUUUCGGGCGCGGCUUAUUUUUGGCACCCUGAGGCCCCUCGCAAAGUCUCGCCCCAUUCCGAGUCCGGCGGACGAACUUCGCCCGCGCCCCCCACCAAGGCUAUAGCCCACGACCCGUUUUUUGGCCAUUUUUCCGCUGGGGGGUUUUGGCACCACGACCUUCGGGCGCUUAUUUUUGGGCGCGGCUUUCCCCGCGGCUUAUUUUUGGCACCCCAAGGCCCCUCGCAAAGCCUCGCCCCAUUCCGAGCCCGGCGGACGAACUUCGCCCGCGCCCCCCACCAAGGCUAUAGCCCACGACCCGUUUUUUGGCCAUUUUUCCGCUGGGGGGUUUUGGCACCACGACCUUCGGGCGCUUAUUUUUGGGCGCGGCUUUGCCCGCGGCUUAUUUUUGGCACCCCGAGGCCCCUCGGAAAGUCUCGCCCCAUUCCGAGUCCGGCGGACGAAAUUCGCCCGCGCCCCCCACCAAGGCUAUAGGCCACGACCCGUUUUUUGGCCAUUUUUCCGCUGGGGGCUUUUGGCACCACGACCUUCGGGCGCUUAUUUUUGGGCGCGGCUUUGUCCGUGGCUUAUUUUUGGCACCCCGAGGCCCCUCACAAAGUCUCGCCCCAUUCCGAGUCCGGCGGACGAACUUCGCCCGCGCCCCCCACCAAGGCUAUAGCCCACCCGUUUUUUGGCCAUUUUUCCGCUGGCGGGUUUUGGCACCACGACCUUCGGGCGCUUAUUUUUGGGCGCGGCUUUGCCCGCGGCUUAUUUUUGGCACCCCGAGGCCCCUCGGAAAGUCUCGCCCCAUUCCGAGUCCGGCGGACGAAAUUCGCCCGCGCCCCCCACCAAGGCUAUAGGCCACGACCCGUUUUUUGGCCAUUUUUCCGCUGGGGGCUUUUGGCACCCCGACCUUCGGGCGCUUAUUUUUGGGCGCGGCUUUCCCCGCGGCUUAUUUUUGGCACCCCAAGGCCCCUCGCAAAGCCUCGCCCCAUUCCGAGCCCGGCGGACGAACUUCGCCCGCGCCCCCCACCAAGGCUAUAGCCCACGACCCGUUUUUUGGCCAUUUUUCCGCUGGGGGGUUUUGGCACCACGACAUCGGGCGCUUAUUUUUGGGCGCGGCUUUGCCCGCGGCUUAUUUUUGGCACCCCGAGGCCCCUCGCAAAGUCUCGCCCCAUUCCGAGUCCGGCGGACGAACUUCGCCCGCGCCCCCCACCAAGGCUAUAGCCCACGACCCGUUUUUUGGCCAUUUUUCUGCUGGGGGGUUUUGUCACCACGACCUUCGGGCGCUUAUUUUUGGGUGCGGCUUUCCCCGCGGCUUAUUUUUGGCACCCCGAGGCCCCUCGCAAAGUCUCGCCCCAUUCCGAGUCCGGCGGAAGAACUUCGCCCGCGCCCUCCACCAAGGCUAUAGCCCACGACCCGUUUUUUGGCCAUUUUUCCGCUGGAGGGUUUUGGCACCACGACCUUCGGGCGCGGCUUAUUUUUGGCACCCCGAGGACCCUCGCAAAGUCUCGCUCCAUUCCGAGUCCGGCGGACGAACUUCGCCCGCGCCCCCCACCAAGGCUAUAGCCCACGACCCGUUUUUUGGCCAUUUUUCCGCUGGGGGGUUUUGGCACCACGACCUUCGGGCGCUUAUUUUUGGGCGCGGCUUUGCCCGCGGCUUAUUUUUGGCACCCCGAGGCCCCUCGCAACGUCUCGCCCCAUUCCGAGUCCGGCGGACGAAAUUCGCCCGCGCCCCCCACCAAGGCUAUAGCCCACGACCCGUUUUUUGGCCAUUUUUCCGCUGGGGGGUUUUGGCCCCACGACCUUCGGGCGCUUAUUUUCGGGCGCGGCUUAUUUUUGGCACCCCGAGGCCCCUCGCAAAGUCUCGCCCCAUUCCGAGUCCGGCGGACGAACUUCGCCCGCGCCCCCCACCAAGGCUAUAGCCCACGACCCGUUUUUUGGCCAUUUUUCCGAUGGGGGGUUUUGGCACCACGACCUUCGGGCGCUUAUUUUUGGGCGCGGCUUUGCCCGCGGCUUAUUUUUGGCACCCCGAGGCCCCUCGCAACGUCUCGCCCCAUUCCGAGUCCGGCGGACGAACUUCGCCCGCGCCCCCCACCAAGGCUAUAGCCCACGACCCGUUUUUUGGCCAUUUUUCCACUGGGGGGUUUUGGCACCGCGACCUUCAGGCGCUUAUUUUUGGGCGCGGCUUUGCCCGCGGCUUAUUUUUGGUACCCCGAGGCCCCUCGCAAAGUCUCGCCCCAUUCCGAGUCUGGCGGACGAACUUCGCCCGCGCCCCCCACCAAGGCAAUAGGUCACCCGUUUUUUGGCCAUUUUUCCGCUGGGGGCUUUUGGCACCACGACCUUCGGGCGCUUAUUUUUGGGCGCGGCUUUGCCCGCGGCUUAUUUUUGGCACCCCGAGGCCCCUCGCAAAGUCUCGCCCCAUUCCGAGUCCGGCGGACGAACUUCGCCCGCGCCCCCCACCAAGGCUAUAGGCCACGACCCGUUUUUUGGCCAUUUUUCCGCUGGAGGAUUUGGCACCACGACCUUCGGGCGCUUAUUUUUGGGCGCGGCUUUGCCCGCGGCUUAUUUUUGGCACCCCGAGGCCCCUCGGAAAGUCUCGCCCCAUUCCGAGUCCGGCGGACGAAAUUCGCCCGCGCCCCCCACCAAGCCUAUAGCCCACGACCCGUUUUUUGGCCAUUUUUCCGCUGGGGGGUUUUGGCCCCACGACCUUCGGGCGCUUAUUUUCGGGCGCGGCUUAUUUUUGGCACCCUGAGGCCCCUCGCAAAGUCUCGCCCCAUUCCGAGUCCGGCGGACGAACUUCGCCCGCGCCCCCCACCAAGGCUAUAGCCCACGACCCGUUUUUUGGCCAUUUUUCCGCUGGGGGGUUUUGGCACCACGACCUUCGGGCGCUUAUUUUUGGGCGCGGCUUUCCCCGCGGCUUAUUUUUGGCACCCCAAGGCCCCUCGCAAAGCCUCGCCCCAUUCCGAGCCCGGCGGACGAAUUCGCACGCGCCCCCCACCAAGGCUAUAGCCCACCCGUUUUUUGGACAUGUUUCCGCUGGGGGUUUUGGCACCACGACCUUUGGGCGCUUAUUUUUCGGCGCGGCUCUGCCCGCGGCUUAUUUUUGGCACCCCAAGGCCCCUCGCAAAGUCUCGCCCCAUUCCGAGUCCGGCGGACGAACUUCGCCCGCGCCCCCCACCAAGGCUAUAGCCCACCCGUUUUUUGGCUAUUUUUCCGCUGGGGGUUUUGGCACCACGACCUUCGGGCGCUUAUUUUUCGGCGCGGCUCUGCCCGCGGCUUAUUUUUGGCACCCCGAGGCCCCUCGCAAAGUCUCGCCCCAUUCCGAGUCCGGCGGACGAACUUCGCCCGCGCCGCCCACCAAGGCUAUAGCCCACCCGUUUUUUGGCCAUUUUUCCGCUGGGGGGUUUUGGCACCACGACCUUCGGGCGCUUAUUUUUGGGCGCGGCUUUGCCCGCGGCUUAUUUUUGGCACCCCGAGCCCCCUCGUAAAGUCCGCCCCAUUCCGAGUCCGGCGGACGAACUUCGCCCGCGCCCCCCACCAAGGCUAUAGCCCACCCGUUUUUUGGCCAUUUUUCAGCUGGGGGGUUUUGGCACCACGACCUUCGGGCUCCUAUUUUUGGGCGCGGCUUUGCCCGCGGCUUAUUUUUGGCACCCCGAGGUCCCUCGCAAGUCUCGCCCCAUUCCGAGUCCGGCGGACGAACUUCGCCCGCGCCCCCCACCAAGGCUUUAGCCCACCCGUUUUUUGGCCAUUUUUCCGCUGGGGGGUUUUGGCACCACGACCUUCGGGUGCUUAUUUUUGGGCGCGGCUUUGCCCGCGGCUUAUUUUUGGCACCCCGAGGCCCCUCGCAAAGUCUCGCCCCAUUCCGAGUCCGGCGGACGAACUUCGCCCGCGCCCCCCACCAAGGCUAUAGCCCACCCGUUUUUUGGCCAUUUUUCCGCUGGGGGGUUUUGGAACUACGACCUUCGGGCGCUUAUUUUUGGGCGCGGCUUUGCCCGCGGCUUAUUUUUGGCACCCCGAGGCCCCUCGUAAAGUCCGCCCCAUGCCGAGUCCGGCGGACGAACUUCGCCAGCGCCCCCCACCAAGGCUAUAGCCCACCCGUUUUUUGGCCAUUUUUCCGCUGGGGGUUUUGGCACCACGACCUUCGGGCGCUUAUUUUUCGGUGCGGCUUUGCCCGCGGCUUAUUUUUGGUACCCCGAGGCCCCUCGUAAAGUCUCGCCCCAUUCCGAGUCCGGCGGACGAACUUCGCCCGCGCCCCCCACCAAGGCUAUAGCCCACCCGUUUUUUGGCCAUUUUUCCGCUGGGGGGUUUUGGAACUACGACCUUCGGGCGCUUAUUUUUGGGCGCGGCUUUGCCCGCGGCUUAUUUUUGGCACCCCAAGGCCCCUCGUAAAGUCUGCCCCAUUCCGAGCCCGGCGGACGAACUUCGCCCGCGCCCCCCACCAAGGCUAUAGCCCACCCGUUUUUUGGCCAUGUUUCCGCUGGGGGUUUUGGCACCACGACCUUUGGGCGCUUAUUUUUCGGCGCGGCUCUGCCCGCGGCUUAUUUUUGGCACCCUGAGGCCCCUCGCAAAGUCUCGCCCCAUUCCGAGUCCGGCGGACGAACUUCGCCCGCGCCCCCCACCAAGGCUAUAGCCCACCCGUUUUUUGGCCAUUUUUCCGCUGGGGGUUUUGGCACCACGACCUUCGGGCGCUUAUUUUUCGGCGCGGCUUUGCCCGCGGCUUAUUUUUGGUACCCCGAGCCCCCUCGCAAAGUCUCGCCCCAUUCCGAGUCCGGCGGACGAACUUCGCCCGCGCCGCCCACCAAGGAUAUAGCCCACCCGUUUUUUGGCCAUUUUUCCGCUGGGGGGUUUUGGAACUAGGACCUUCGGGCGCUUAUUUUUAGGCGCAGCUUUGCCCGCGGCUUAUUUUUCGCACUCCGAGGCCCCUCGUAAAGUCCGCCCCAUUCCGAGUCCGGCGGACGAACUUCGCCCGCGCCCCCCACCAAGGCUAUAGCCCACCCGUUUUUUGGCCAUUUUUCAGCUGGGGGGUUUUGGCACCACGACCUUCGGGCUCUUAUUUUUGGGCGCGGCUUUGCCCGCGGCUUAUUUUUGGCACCCCGAGGCCCCUCGCAAAGUCUCGCCCCAUUCCGAGUCCGGCGGACGAACUUCGCCCGCGCCACCCACCAACGCUAUAGCCCACCCGUUUUUUGGCCAUUUUUCCGCUGGGGGGUUUUGGCACCACGACCUUCGGGCGCUUAUUUUUGGGCGCGGCUUUGCCCGCGGCUUAUUUUUGGCACCCCGAGCCCCCUCGUAAAGUCCGCCCCAUUCCGAGUCCGGCGGACGAACUUCGCCCGCGCCCCCCACCAAGGCUGUAGCCCACCCGUUUUUUGGCCAUUUUUCCGCUGGGGGGUUUUGGAACUACGACCUUCGGGCGCUUAUUUUUGGGCGCGGCUUUGCCCGCGGCUUAUUUUUGGCACCCCGAGGCCCCUCGUAAAGUCCGCCCCAUGCCGAGUCCGGCGGACGAACUUCGCCCGCGCCCCCCACCAAGGCUAUAGCCCACCCGUUUUUUGGCCAUUUUUCCGCUGGGGGUUUGGCACCACGACCAUCGGGCGCUUAUUUUCGGCGCGGCUUUGCCCGCGGCUUAUUUUUGGUACCCCGAGGCCCCUCGCAAAGUCUCGCCCCAUUCCGAGUCCGGCGGACGAACUUCGCCCGCGCCCCCCACCAAGGCUAUAGCCCACCCGUUUUUUGGCCAUUUUUCCGCUGGGGGGUUUUGGAACUACGACCUUCGGGCGCUUAUUUUUGGGCGCGGCUUUGCCCGCGGCUUAUUUUUGGCACCCCGAGGCCCCUCGUAAAGUCUGCCCCAUUCCGAGUCCGGCGGACGAACUUCGCCCGCGCCCCCCACCAAGGCUAUAGCCCACCCGUUUUUUGGCCAUGUUUCCGCUGGGGGUUUUGGCACCACGACUUUUGGGCGCUUAUUUUUCGGCGCGGCUUUGCCCGCGGCUUAUUUUUGGCACCCCGAGGCCCCUCGCAAAGUCUCGCCCCAUUCCGAGUCCGGCGGACGAACUUCGCCCGCGCCCCCCACCAAAGAUAUAGCCCACCCGUUUUUUGGCCAUUUUUCCGCUGGGGGUUUUGGCACCACGACCUUCGGGCGCUUAUUUUUCGGCGCGGCUUUGCCCGCGGCUUAUGUUUGGCACCCCGAGGCCCCUCACAAAGUCCGCCCCAUUCCGAGUCCGGCGGACGAACUUCGCCCGCGCCCCCCACUAAGGCUAUAGCCCACCCGUUUUUUGGCCAUUUUUCCGCUGGGGGUUUUGGCACCACGACCUUCGGGCGCUUAUUUUUCGGCGUGGCUUUGCCCGCGGCUUAUUUUUGGCACCCCGAGGCCCCUCGCAAAGUCUCGCCCCAUUCCGAGUCCGGCGGACGAACUUCGCCCGCGCCGCCCACCAAGGCUAUAGCCCACCCGUUUUUUGGCCAUUUUUCCGCUGGGGGGUUUUGGAACUAGGACCUUCGGGCGCUUAUUUUUGGGCGCGGCUUUGCCCGCGGCUUAUUUUUCGCACUCCGAGGCCCCUCGUAAAGUCCGCCCCAUUCCGAGUCCGGCGGACGAACUUCGCCCGCGCCCCCCACUAAGGCUAUAGCCCACCCGUUUUUUGGCCAUUUUUCAGCUGGGGGGUUUUGGCACCACGACCUUCGGGCUCUUAUUUUUCGGCGCGGCUUUGCCCGCGGCUUAUUUUUGGCACCCCGAGGCCCCUCGCAAAGUCUUGCCCCAUUCCGAGUCCGGCGGACGAACUUCGCCCGCGCCCCCCACCAAGGCUAUAGCCCACCCGUUUUUUGGCCAUUUUUCAGCUGGGGGGUUUUGGCACCACGACCUCGGGCUCCUAUUUUUGGGCGCGGCUUUGCCCGCGGCUUAUUUUUGGCACCCCGAGGUCCCUCGCAAAGUCUCGCCCCAUUCCGAGUCCGGCGGACGAAUUUCGCCCGCGCCCCCCACCAAGGCUUUAGCCCACCCGUUUUUUGGCCAUUUUUCCGCUGGGGGGUUUUGGCACCACGACCUUCGGGUGCUUAUUUUUGGGCGCGGCUUUGCCCGCGGCUUAUUUUUGGCACCCCGAGGCCCCUCGCAAAGUCUCGCCCCAUUCCGAGUCCGGCGGACGAACUUCGCCCGCGCCCCCCACCAAGGCUAUAGCCCACCCGUUUUUUGGCCAUUUUUCCGCUGGGGGGUUUUGGAACUACGACCUUCGGGCGCUUAUUUUUGGGCGCGGCUUUGCCCGCGGCUUAUUUUUGGCACCCCGAGGCCCCUCGUAAAGUCUGCCCCAUUCCGAGUCCGGCGGACGAACUUCGCCCGCGCCCCCCACCAAGGCUAUAGCCCACCCGUUUUUUGGCCAUGUUUCCGCUGGGGGUUUUGGCACCACGACCUUUGGGCGCUUAUUUUUCGGCGCGGCUUUGCCCGCGGCUUAUUUUUGGCACCCCGAGGCCCCUCGCAAAGUCUCGCCCCAUUCCGAGUCCGGCGGACGAACUUCUCCCGCGCCCCCCACCAAGGCUAUAGCCCACCCGUUUUUUGGCCAUUUUUCCGCUGGGGGUUUUGGCACCACGACCUUCGGGCGCUUAUUUUUCGGCGCGGCUUUGCCCGCGGCUUAUGUUUGGCACCCCGAGGCCCCUCACAAAGUCCGCCCCAUUCCGAGUCCGGCGGACGAACUUCGCCCGCGCCCCCCACUAAGGCUAUAGCCCACCCGUUUUUUGGCCAUUUUUCCGCUGGGGGUUUUGGCACCACGACCUUCGGGCGCUUAUUUUUCGGCGUGGCUUUGCCCGCGGCUUAUUUUUGGCACCCCGAGGCCCCUCGCAAAGUCUCGCCCCAUUCCGAGUCCGGCGGACGAACUUCGCCCGCGCCGCCCACCAAGGCUAUAGCCCACCCGUUUUUUGGCCAUUUUUCCGCUGGGGGGUUUUGGCACCACGACCUUCGGGCUCUUAUUUUUGGGCGCGGCUUUGCCCGCGGCUUAUUUUUGGCACCCCGAGGCCCCUCGCAAAGUCUUGCCCCAUUCCGAGUCCGGCGGACGAACUUCGCCCGCGCCCCCCACCAAGGCUAUAGCCCACCCGUUUUUUGGCCAUUUUUCAGCUGGGGGGUUUUGGCACCACGACCUUCGGGCUCCUAUUUUUGGGCGCGGCUUUGCCCGCGGCUUAUUUUUGGCACCCCGAGGUCCCUCGCAAAGUCUCGCCCCAUUCCGAGUCCGGCGGACGAACUUCGCCCGCGCCGCCCACCAAGGAUAUAGCCCACCCGUUUUUUGGCCAUUUUUCCGCUGGGGGGUUUUGGAACUAGGACCUUCGGGCGCUUANNNNNNNNNNNNNNNNNNNNNNNNNNNNNNNNNNNNNNNNNNNNNNNNNNNNNNNNNNNNNNNNNNNNNNNNNNNNNNNNNNNNNNNNNNNNNNNNNNNNCCCGCGCCCCCCACCAAGGCUAUAGCCCACCCGUUUUUUGGCCAUUUUUCAGCUGGGGGGUUUUGGCACCACGACCUUCGGGCUCCUAUUUUUGGGCGCGGCUUUGCCCGCGGCUUAUUUUUGGCACCCCGAGGUCCCUCGCAAAGUCUCGCCCCAUUCCGAGUCCGGCGGACGAACUUCGCCCGCGCCGCCCACCAAGGAUAUAGCCCACCCGUUUUUUGGCCAUUUUUCCGCUGGGGGGUUUUGGAACUAGGACCUUCGGGCGCUUAUUUUUAGGCGCGGCUUUGCCCGCGGCUUAUUUUUCGCACUCCGAGGCCCCUCGUAAAGUCCGCCCCAUUCCGAGUCCGGCGGACGAACUUCGCCCGCGCCCCCCACCAAGGCUAUAGCCCACCCGUUUUUUGGCCAUUUUUCCGCUGGGGGGUUUUGGAACUACGACCUUCGGGCGCUUAUUUUUAGGCGCGGCUUUGCCCGCGGCUUAUUUUUCGCACUCCGAGGCCCCUCGUAAAGUCCGCCCCAUUCCGAGUCCGGCGGACGAACUUCGCCCGCGCCCCCCACCAAGGCUAUAGCCCACCCGUUUUUUGGCCAUUUUUCCGCUGGGGGGUUUUGGAACUACGACCUUCGGGCGCUUAUUUUUGGGCGCGGCUUUGCCCGCGGCUUAUUUUUGGCACCCCGAGGCCCCUCGUAAAGUCUGCCCCAUUCCGAGUCCGGCGGACGAACUUCGCCCGCGCCCCCCACCAAGGCUAUAGCCCA